GGCGUGAUCGUAUAGUGGUUAGUAAAUUGCGUUGAGGCAGCAAUAACCCAGGUUCGAAAUCUGGUCACUGCA
rnacentral:tRNA from 1 species